CACAUUAAAUAGGAAGCUUGGCUCUUACAGCACUGGUCCCACCAAACCUUUUUCUCUUCCAAGGCAAAAUUUGGCCUUCAUGCUCAUGUGGACCCAUGCUACUACCUUUGAAGAUCAGCACUGCUAGUACAAGGAGGCAACUCCACUCUUCAUGAACAAGGGCAGCACACCUCCUGUACCAGCCAAAUGGUAGUUCAAGGGUGGAUGGCAUGAUUCAUGGGCACCUACACUAUACCUAACAGGCAGUUCAUUAACGUGCUCCUCAGAACCUCCAGUGUGCUGCGGAACUUCAGAGAGAGGUGGCAAAAUACAGCAUGCAGGAGAGCUGCGCAGCAGAGAAGGUGUGCCAUAGCUGGUUAUCCCCACGCCAUAUCUGAGUAAUUGACUCGCAGAUUUUGCACUCAGCCAUCCUAUGUUGCAGUUUGGACCACUUCUCCAGUUUUUCAAGAUGGCCUCUGGAGAAGCUUCCUUAUCCUGAAGUAGCACACAGCAGAAGAGCCAUGGAGCAUGGUUCUUUCUAGCCCGAGCUGCAGCAUGAGGCACAGAAGGGGCAGGACACAGGAAAGGAGAUGCUGUUACAGUACCAGGGUAUUCAGGAGUGGCAGAAUGGAAAGAAGAGACCAUCUUGUACUAUCCAACAGGAUAUUUUGUUAAAACUGACAUGGGGAUUGCCAAUGCCUUGCUUUCAAAACUGGGACGUUAAAAAGUACUUCACAUUAGGACAGCGUUUAUUUUGUUCUUCAGUGGAAAAAGUGAAACAUUCCUUAAUCAGCGAGGAAGCAUGCUUUCUGCAUACCCCUGCACAAAAUUUGGUAUGAGUUCAACAAAUGACAAUUCAGCUGCUGAAGCAUAACCAACUUGGACUGCUUUAGAGAGCUUUCCAUCUGAGGAUCUCAAUCGUUUAUCCCAAUGAGCUUAAUGAAGUUUGAUCACCUCUUUCUCUAUAGCCUCUCUGUUGAGGAGUUCGUCUGGCUUUUUUACUUGAAUCACUUACCUCUGUCCUUGCUGAGGUGAACUACAGACAAUUCUGUGCAGGAUCCUGACUUUUGUUGCCAGGCCAUUGAAGUCUUGCUGUUAUGUUGACCAGGCCAUUAUGUUGACCAGGGAAACUUGCUUCCGUUCUUGCUCCCAAGGAUAUAGAGAGAAAGAGGAGGCUUCAGAAAUUCCAGCCAAAUGUGGAAGGAAAAAAUGACUUUAAAAAAAAAAAAAAAAGAAGAUGUGGGAAGAGAGCUUUUCAUGACAAAAUCUUUUUUUGAAGGCCAUUUCUUUUUAUCCUUUCUGAAUUUUCUGUUUGGAACAAAGAAUCUCCACGUGCCUGACACUGGAUUGUCAUGGAGCUCGUUA